UGGGAUCGUUGCAGAGCCUGACAUACAAAUUCUUAUGAGACGGGAAGGAGGUCAGUUGGGACCAAAUGGCGUUAACAAAGGCUGAAGGUAGAAUUGGUUUCAGACGAUUCGAGGACACAAUUACGACAUUAGUAAUGAUCAAGAGAGUGUGGAGGAUAUGGAAUGCAGAGGAUUCUAUUUGGGUCAGAUGGAUGUGCGAGAGGUAUGUUAGAGGAAGAAGACUUGCAGACAUCCAGAGAG
rnacentral:lncRNA from 1 species